GCAAUCAAAUAGCAAUAGAACCACAGUCGCAAUAGCACCUGUAAAAGGAUUCGAUCCGAUUCGAAUCCUUCAAAUGGGAUCCGCUCCGAUUGAAUCAUUCUAGGAAAUCUUUCGAAUCCCGAUUCUGAUAACACAAUUCAAGAUAGUAUUUCCCGCGUGUAAAAAUCAUGAUCCAGUCUGUACUCAUUAGUUGACCUUUGAUUGCUUGCCAACAAUUAACUUUGUGUCAGUUAGUUGGCAUGUUUGUUACACACGACAAAAUCUUUUUGUUUUUCUAUAGUGAAUAUUUUCGAAUAUCGAUUAGCCAUGCUAUUAGUUGAAUUCCGACUGUUGAAGCUGUGUUUUCUCAACAUUUUCUCUCAUUACACUUUCGAUACACAAUACACUUUCGGUGUAGGUUUUCAUUCAAUUAUUUAUAAUCCUCAUUCUAAUAUACAACUGUUUGUUUUCCGUAGAAUGUGUUUGCGUGUUUCUUUUUUUUUUGUUCUUUUUUGUUUUUUAGUGUAGUUUGUGAAAUAGAGUUUGUUUUUGCGAAUUGAAUGCCGUUUCUUGGUGAUCAUAAUUACUUUCUCUUAUAUCAUACGAUAGCAC